rnacentral:rRNA from 1 species
AUGCACGCUGGCGGCGUGCCUAAUACAUGCAAGUCGAGCGAACAGACGAGGAGCUUGCUCCUCUGACGUUCGCGGCGGACGGGUGAGUAACACGUGGAUAACCUACCUAUAAGACUGGGAUAACUUCGGGAAACCGGAGCUAAUACCGGAUAAUAUAUUGAACCGCAUGGUUCAAUAGUGAAAGACGGUUUUGCUGUCACUUAUAGAUGGAUCCGCGCCGCAUUAGCUAGUUGGUAAGGUAACGGCUUACCAAGGCAACGAUGCGUAGCCGACCUGGGAGGGUGAUCGGCCACACUGGAACUGAGACACGGUCCAGACUCCUACGGGAGGCAGCAGUAGGGAAUCUUCCGCAAUGGGCGAAAGCUUGACGGAGCAACGCCGCGUGAGUGAUGAAGGUCUUCGGAUCGUAAAACUCUGUUAUUAGGGAAGAACAAAUGUGUAAGUAACUAUGCACGUCUUGACGGUACCUAAUCAGAAAGCCACGGCUAACUACGUG